rnacentral:rRNA from 1 species
AACGAACGCUGGCGGCAUGCCUAACACAUGCAAGUCGAACGAGACCUUCGGGUCUAGUGGCGCACGGGUGCGUAACGCGUGGUAACUUGCCCUUAGGUUCGGAAUAACUCCCCGUAAGGGGUGCUAAUACCGGAUAAUGUAUUAGGACCAAAGAUUUAUCGCUUUUGGAUGGGCCCGGGUUGGUUUAGCUAGUUGGUAGGGUAAAAGCCUGCCAAGGCGACGUUCCAUGGCUGGUCUGAGAGGAGGAUCAGCCACACUGGCACUGCGACACGGCCCAGACUCCUACGCGAGGCAGCAGUGGGGAAUAUUGGGCGAUGGGCGAAAGCCUGAUCCAGCAAUGCCGCGUGAGUGAUGAAGGCCUUAGGGUUAUAAAGCUCUUUUACCCGGGAUGAUAAUGACAGUACCGGGAGAAUAAGCUCCGGCUAACUCCGUG